CUGGUAGCAGUUUCGGUUUAAGUCUAUAAACGAAAAAUACCUGGUUUUAUUCUCUUUCUUCUUCUUUCUCAUUCAGAUGAGCACUUCCUUACGUCCAUCCACCUGGUUUCUCCUGGACGGACGCUGAUAACCUAAACUAUAAUCUCUGGACGAAUUCAAAGGAAGUUAUGUUGGUGGUAUGAAUAAUAUUAUUCAGUCGCUGGUUGUGGAUUAUUUUACCGUGGAUAUACUGGUUGAAUACAGCAACUGGCUUAUGGACGGAAAAGCCUGAUGAUUUGGUAAUUGCGAACUGCAAGGAGCUCAAAUUCCAGUUCGGAGAUAUAAUCUCUUUUUCUACCAAAUGGAGAUUAACGGAUCCGAAAUCGCAACCCCGGCACUGGUUCUUUGCCGUUUCGGACACGGAGCUGUGGCACAUCGUGAAGGAGUCCUACAUCCUUCCGCAGAAGGGCUUCGUCGACAUCCUUCCCUCGGUACAACGGAUCUCCGGAAGACGAGUCUGUGUCGUCCAUCCGAAGGUUCCCGGCCGGCCACUCACAGGACACGCCGGCACCCGUCUGGCCAAGAGGAUGUGGAAGAUGGCUGUCCCGUUUGAGACUUUUUCUUGCAACUGUCACCACUGGGCAGACUACAUGGCCCACGGUCGGACCUACGGCGACUUGUACACGUGGCAUUACCUGCCGGCCAACUACGCUUGCCCGGUUCACCAGCCCUUCGACGCAACGACCGACAUCUCCUCCCCUGGUUUCAAACUCGCCAUCAAGGAUAAGUUCGGGAACCUGCAGAGCAUCGAGUGGCCCCAAAGUCUGUCCGACGAACAACUAGCCCAAGAGGUCAAGCAACGGCGGUUGUUCUCGUCUAAAGUGACCGACGAACUCGCCACACUGAGAGAGACCUGGGCAACAAAAGUUCGACCGUUUUUGCCCGCGAAGAUCCCUCCAUCCGCCAUCCCACCCUUCAUGUCCAAGAGCUCCAACGGUUCGUCCUUCUUCUCCAGGAGUGUCUCCAGUUUCUCACGGCUGGCGUCCUUCCGCCGGCUGUCGCGAAAAAAUAACAAGAGUAGUUCGGAUGGACGUGCCAAGGACAUUUCCGUGGGUGGCCAAAACUGAAAAGGGGGGGGGGGUCUCCAAAUUGAUGAUAUUAGGAGGUACAUAGAUAGAUAGGUGUUAGAUUUCACAUAAAAUCAUGUUUUAAAUAUCUAGUUAUUAAAUAAAAUACUUUAAUUAAAUAUUGUUUUACUAUUUAAUAAUUUAGAUUAUAGGUAUAAACGAAAAAAACUUUAAAAGUUAAGUAUUGAAGUAAAAUAAAUUAGAAUUAGAUAAAUUCUCGAGUUAGAUUUAUGGCAAGACUCAUCCUAUUUCUGGUUCCUUCAUUUAAGUAUUUUUAUUUUUACAUAAACUAAUUACAUAUUUGCAUAAAUUAAUUUUUAUAAAUACUUUAUAUAAAUUUCUUUUAAAUAAACAUGUAUGUACAAGGUCGUAAAAUUGUGCUGGGUCCAGACUAUUUUGAAGGGAAUGCAAGGCCAAAUAGCAGGGCAAAUAUAUGUGCACGUAUUAAGUUAGAUUUUUCGUUGGAAUUUAAAUCUGGAAUGAAAGGAGAACUAAAAAACUAACUAUUCAUAAUAUUAAAAUUAAAAAUUAAUUAUUAAGUGAAAAAUCUUAUAUUAAAUCAAAGGAAAAGAACAUCCUUCAGAAUUGUAGAAAAAUAAAGACUGUUUCUUGGUUAAUUUGUUAAGUUGGGGAGAUUUAAAAGUAAUCAAAUCUUUUCUAUGAAAAAUGAGCUAACUAAAAUUAAAUUAUCCAACUAUGCAAUAAAAUAAUUGAAACCCACUUCAAUAAAUUGUAAUUAAAAUUGUAUUAAAUGUUCGAAUUUUUUAAUAAAAGUGACAUUCAAUAUUCCUAUAUGAAGUAUUGGCAUCUUUUUCUUUUCUUUCCAUUUUUAAGACCACAUUCCAUACACAGACCCGCGUUCAUCAUUCCUUGAACUUCAAAAUUCAUCGCGUGCAGAAUACACUCCACCGAAAGAAAAAAAGUGAAAAAAUGUCUCUUUAAACAGUAAUUCCAUCCCAGUUCUGUACUUCAAUACGGUCGGCACCGCCAGCGUUGAUGGAAGUUUUUUCCUCAUUCGAUGCUCGCAGCUUCCAUUAGGUAUCCUCAUUCGAAACAAGCUUGGACCGUUCCUACACAACCUUGAAUUUAUUUUUCCGCUGAACUCACAAACUCAUGGUACUUAAAAGUCAAAAGCCGAAGUGUGAAAAGUGAAGUUCGUGUGAAGUUUUGACCAAAAAUACCCAAAGUUUUUUUGUGACAUAACUAAGCUAAUAUAUCUCUUGAUUCAUAUAGCAUAACAAUAUCGCAUAGGCGUAGAGAAGCGGCUAAACUAACAUACAGGUCAGCACGCGGUUAGAAAAGUAAAACUAUUUCAUCCACACUUGCCGCCGAAUAACUGAAAGUUUAAAUUCGAGUGGUUCUGUGUCUUAUAUGUUUC
rnacentral:lncRNA from 1 species